CGCUGGCGGCGUGCUUAACACAUGCAAGNCGAGUGCGCGUCUGUAGCAAUACAGAUGGCGCACGGCGCACGGGUGCGUAACACGUGGGUAAUCUGCCCUUCGAAGGGGAAUAACUCGCCGAAAGGCGAGCUAAUUCCGCAUAACAUUCCGAGAACUUUGGUUUUUGGAUUCAAAGGCGUAAGUCGUCGGAGGAGGAGCCCGCGCACGAUUAGCUAGUUGGUAGGGUAACGGCCUACCAAGGCUAUGAUCGUUAGCUGGUCUGAGAGGAUGGCCAGCCACACUGGAACUGAGACACGGUCCAGACUCCUACGGGAGGCAGCAGUGGGGAAUCUUGCACAAUGGGCGAAAGCCUGAUGCAGCGACGCCGCAUGGGGGAUGAAGCUUCUCGGAGUGUAAACCCCUUUCGACCCGGACGAAUGCCCCGCAAGGGGACUGACGGUACGGGUAUAAGAAGCCCCGGCUAACUACGUGCCAGCAGCCGCGGUAAGACGUAGGGGGCCAGCGUUGCUCGGAAUUACUGGGUGUAAAGGGUUCGUAGGCGGUGUGGCAAGUCGGGAGUGAAAUCUCUGGGCUCAACCCAGAGUCUGCUUCCGAAACUGCUGUGCUUGAG
rnacentral:rRNA from 1 species